CCCAUUGGGGGUGUGACCACUUCCCUGGUGUUGAUGGCCCUGGCUUCUUGGGGUGAACAAGACAGUGACAUGAUGGAAAGCGUGAGGGAUUUGGUCUGACCUGGAUUUGAGUUUUAAUUCUCCCGUGUGCCAGCUGUGUGUUUCCGGACUGCACAUUUCACCUUUCUGAGCCCUUGGUUUUUCUUCUCUCAAAAAAGGACAAAGUAAUGUUUAAUAGGAUCAAAUUAAAUAAUAGUUCUAAAGUAUCUAGAGAGGGUGUAGUCCGUGAUGGGAAGACUGAGCCACGGAGCUUCCCACCAGUUCCCCAGGGCCUGUCCCAGCGGUGGUGGACACCAAGCCGAUAGAAGCAAGGAGGUGCCUCCACCUUCCUUGGGAAAAGAUCCGGACCCUCCUCGCCUUCCUGCCCCACCCAUCCCCGUCACUAUGGCAACCACGCAGGCACCUGCAGGCCAUAGAUUUAUUUGACUCUGAGGACAACCCACCUCCUGGAAAGCAAACUGAGGCUCAGAGAAACCAUGUGGUUCGCCAGCAAGGAAUUAUAGAGAGGCUUCUUUGACCUGUCUGGCUGCAGAGCGGGGCUCUUUCUAUGAGACCUGGAGAGCAUUAAGCAUCACCAAAUGGCAAGGACCUUGGAUGCCAACAUUUGGACAGUGUUGCAGGAAUUAGCUGGCCCAUUAAAUUCAGGGCAAGAAGCAUAAGAGUCCAACCUGGGCACUGUAUGAUAAGAAGCCCAAUCCAGGUGAGCAGCUAGCUGUUGUGAACUCCUAUGUGCCAAACAACAUGGCAUCAACAUCUGGCAGAUGGCAGCGCUGGAGCCCAGAUGGGGAAACAGGCUGGAAUCGGCUGGCAGAAGGUCCCCAGUGAUGGACUGAGAUUCUUGACCUAGGGUCCUUGAAGCUUCUUGGUGGACUUCAGUGGCCUGAGAGUCCCCUAAAAUUGCAGAAAACAUUUUGGCUGGACAUGAAUUACUGCUCUAGUACAUUUCUCUCAUCUUCCCCCACAUCCCUAUUUUAUAGAAGGGAAAACUGAGGGGCACCAUGAUUUGCCCAAAGUUCUAUAGCAAUUCAGAGUAAGAACCACAGAUUCAAGGAGGGAGAAUUCUUCCAGAGGUGCCCAGGGCAGUCAAGUAGGGUGGACAGGCUGUUCAAUGCAUAACCCCAGGGGACAUUCUUAAGGAC